rnacentral:rRNA from 1 species
UACGUAGGGUGCGAGCGUUGUCCGGAAUUAUUGGGCGUAAAAGAGCUCGUAGGCGGUUUGUUGCGUCGGCUGUGAAAUCCCGAGGCUCAACCUCGGGUCUGCAGUCGAUACGAGCAAACUAGAGUGUUGCAGGGGAGACUGGAAUUCCUGGUGUAGCGGUGGAAUGCGCAGAUAUCAGGAGGAACACCGGUGGCGAAGGCGGGUCUCUGGGCAGUAACUGACGCUGAGACGCGAAAGCGUGGGGAGCAAACAGG